CCUACGGGAGGCAGCAGUGAGGAAUAUUGGUCAAUGGACGCAAGUCUGAACCAGCCAUGCCGCGUGCAGGAAGACGGCUCUAUGAGUUGUAAACUGCUUUUGUACGAGGGUAAAUCCCGAUACGUGUAUCGGGUUGGAAGUAUCGUACGAAUAAGGAUCGGCUAACUCCGUUCCCGCAGCCGCGGUAAUACGUAGGGGGGGAGCGUUAUCCGGAUUCACUGGGGGUAAAGGGAGCGUAGGCGGGCGUUCAAGUCAGCUGUAAAAUCGCGGGGCUCAACCGCGCCCCGCAGUUGAAACUGGACGCCUUGAGUUCACAACAGGCAGGCGGAAUUCGUGGUGUAGCGGUGAAAUGCAUAGAUAUCACGAGGAACCCCGAUUGCGAAGGCAGCCUGCCGGGGUGCGACUGACGCUGAGGCUCGAAGGUGCGGGUAUCAAACAGGAUUAGAUACCCGGGUAGUC
rnacentral:rRNA from 1 species